GCUGAGGAUGCUAGACACUUCUCCCGGGAACUAGCAUCUGUUUUCAGCGGGAGACUGGGAGGCUGUCGCUACAGCAGCUAUUGCAUCAUGCUGGUAAAUUAUCCAUUGCACGGCCCAUAAGCGGCUCCUUGGCGCCCAAGGGGAGCCCUAACCUGCGAGGAUCCUGGGAACUGUGGUUCUGCGUGGGUCAGCGGCGAUGGCCUGAGGGCCCCUUCCACCUGGUCUUGGUCCAUUUUCUCAGAUCCCUGCCUACCAGGAAAGUACUUUCUAUAAAGUCUUCUGGGAUCUUGGCAACCUACUCUGAGACUUGGGUUUCAGAGAGCAAAGACUGAUCCAAAGCAUGGAGUUUGAAUCUAUGAUGCAAAGAUGGAAGAACCUGUAAGUCUUGAAAGGUCUGCCAUCUAAUAGUACUGACUAUUUAUUUAGAGACAAGGUCUCCGGAAGUUGCUUAGGGCCUUUCAAUUGCUGAGGCUGACCUUGAACUCACUAUCCUCCUGCCUCAGCCUCCAAAGUCACUGGGAUUACAGGUACUAGUUACAUUCAGGAGUGUAACUGUGAUCUGCAGGGAGCCAAAGUGGAAAACUGAGCACUAAGCAGAGGAACCUAUACAAAGAAGCGAUGCUAGAAAUCUCCAGGAAUCUGCUCUUGUUGGCAGAGCCAAAGCCAGAAAUCUCCCCUGUUCCUCCUGCCUCUGGCUUUCUCCUGUCAGCAGUUCUUCAACAGCAUGUGCUUCAGAUCUUUCCAGAGUCAUGUGCAGAAAGUCUCUUCCCUCCAGGAGAUUCCAGCCCAGGAUGUUAGAAGCAGCAGAAGUAGCAGCCAUGUUAUUAGAAUGAAAGUCCAGAAGUUAAGAGGGAGAAGGUAGCUUCAAACUCUUGUGUGGGAGGAUGGUGAAGAGAGAGACCUUGAGCACAUCACCCAGUACAUUCCAAGGACAGUCAACAAAUCCUAGAGAAGUUAAUGCGGUGGUAGAAUUAGAGCCCUACUCAGCCCAAAGGGUUAACCUUGUACAAUUGGACAAAGGAUUGGAGCAGUUAGAAACCUUGAGAUUUGGAGCAGUCAGCUGUAGAGAGUGUGAGCCAGACUGUAACCCCACGCCAAACUUCAUUACAAACGCCAGGACCCUCUUGGGCAAGUCCUGUGUUUGCAGUGAUGGUGGGUGAGGCUUUACAGACAUCAUUGGAACGCCACUGGACACACUUGCCAUAUGUGUGCAGAGAGUGGGCGGAGUCUUUAGCCAAAAGCUCAGCCUCGACAGAGCCCACAUUCAGAAGAGGAACCUCUCUUGUACAGGGAGUGGGGCAAAGCUUUAGAAAUAAGUCUAUCAGUAGACAUCAGAAGACUUGCUCAGGGGAGAAAUUCUGCAUUUAUAGCAAGCGUGGGGAAGGCUUUGGCCAGAUGCCAUCUUUCUUCAGACACCAGAGGACACACUCAGGUGAGAAACCCUCCAUGCCCCUGCAAUGUGGACGAGGCUUUGGGGGGGUAAGGGGACCCUCAGAAACCACCAGAGCACACACCCAGGGGAGAAGCCUCUGUUUGCAGGGAGUGUGGGUGAGGCGUUUGCUGCAAAUCAACCCUCUUCCAACACGAGAGAAUACACCCAGGAGAGAAGCCUUUGUGUGCACUGAAUGUGGGUAAGGUUUUAGCCACAACUUCUUGUCCACUGGAAGACACACUCGGGGAGAAGCAUUACGUUUGUGGGGAGUGUGGGCAAGGCUUUAGCCAGAAAUCAAAUCUCAUCAGACACUAGAAGACACACGAGGGGAAUCUUGUGUGUCUGGGCAAGAAUUCUGGGCAAGACAUGAGCCUUCAGUCAAACUUCAUCUUAUACCAGAGAGACACAUAGGAAAUGGUCCCCACGUGUGUGUGGAGUAUGAGUGAUGUUUCAGAGAUGCCUUACCCUUCUUAGACAUGAGAGGACACGUGGAGGAGAGGAACAUCAUGAGGGUACAGCAUGGAUAACUCUGUAGCCACAGGUCAGCCUCACCACGCACAAGAGGACACUCUUAGGGGGAAAGGUUUGUGUGUGCAGGGACUGUGGGCGGGGGGAGCAUUAGCAGUAAGUCCAGACUUGGGAACAUCCAGUGACAGCCCUGAGGAAUAAGUGUCACAUGUUCAGGGUGUUAGUGAGCAUCCGCAAAAGAGUGAAAGUCACCACAAGAGGGCCUUUUAUGGUCAUAUGCCACAGGGAGAAUCUAUGAGUGGGGAUGCUGUGGACCCUGCCCAGGUGACCUUUUCAAGGCCAACACCCCAGCUGCUUGAGAGAAAAAAGCUGCUGCUUGCAGAGAUGGGUUCAACUCUAGCACCAGCUCUUAGCCACAGCGAGCUACAGAAUCGGGGGCUCUACCCUUUCCCAAGAGGGGCUCUUGGCCAGUGACCUAUGGAUACCAGUAGUUAAAACUCCACCCCUGUUCCCAAGGAUCAUUCCAGAUCCAGAAAUCCCCCCUAGACUGAAUGAUCUCUCAGUUGCAAAUAUGUUGCAGGUCAACCUCUUCCUCUGCCCAGUCCUGCCCUCACUCCAUGGUGGACCCUGAUUCUCCAUCUCUGUCUCCAGGGAACCUAAUCUAGCACCUUAGGUGUGAAAGGUGUGGAUGAGGCUUUGGCUGCGUCAUCCCUCAGCAAACGCCAGGGUAUACAGAGAAGCAGCGCUGGGUGUCCUGAGGGCAGAAGGGAACUGACAAGGACUUAUAAAACAGGCACGCUUCCCAGGAAAACAACUUUUUGGUAGAAGCAGUUUUCCCCUGAUUUUCUUCUUGAGCUGACAAGAGGGCAGAGUCUUGCCACCCUAAAUCACUGCCUUGUCCAUUCAGCAGAAGUCUUAACCCAACGGUAGGUACUCUUUUUUUUUUUUUUUUGGUGGUACUAGGGAUUGAAUUCAGGGACUGUGCAUGCGAGGCAAGCAAUCUACCAACUGAACUAUAUCCCCAGUCCCAACCCUCUGAAUGAGAGUAAAGAAGGCAAUAACAAUUACGUAGACAUUUUUCUACUUUUGUAAUCAGAUGGAAUAAAAAAAGUAGGCAUUAUUUAAGUCAUCAGAGAAUGAUCCGCUUGUUUUCUUUUCAUACACCAUUUCUUUCCCAUGGUUUCUUGUCCCUUGUUCUGGUCAUAUUCUCUUUAAGAAGCUCAGGCUGUGGGACCUUGUCACUCAUCUGACUGAAAAGGUCAAGGAAUUCAAAUUCAUGGUCUGGGUUUCCUGCUUGGAUAGAAUUCUUGAGAAUCCUAGACUAGAUUUCUUGGGGAGUCUAGUCCUUUGCAUGAGAAGGAGUGAUUAGAUUUUGGAGGCCGGCCAGCAGCAGAGAGGGGAUUUUGUGGGCCUCCAGGGCCUUUGAUGCCACUCCACUUGCUUCUGUGCUGUGAAAGCUCCCUCUCCUGAGUGUCCUUCCUUCUGUCUCUGCUGAAUCCUUCUCUACCCCCUGAAGGAUGUCUAUUCCUUAGCUGUCUGUUCACAUCCUCUGGUUCCAGGGAGUCUUUAGCCACACCCGCUCUGCAGCUUUCUGGAUUCCAGGGACAGGUCCUCUAGCUAUGCCCAGACUUCUCUCUAAGCAUGAGUCAGUGCUUCGGACUGCACAGCCACUCUCAUGUCAGACCAACAAUAAUGUCAAAAGACCCCUGUGGGCAGCUGCAAUACCAUGUCCCCUCAGCCUUCCCAUCCUAGGAUCCUGUUCUGCUAAUGACUCUCCAAAUCAUCCCUCUACUUCGUCCAGAUUUUUGACAACUCUGUCUGCCCUGGCUCUGGUUCUGUUUGGGCCAAUAGCUAUUCACUGGAAAGGGACUGCCUAGGCUCCCGCAAAUUUGUUUGCCCAACUGGAGUUUUUCCAAGCCUACAGAAUGGAUAUCUGUCUUGGAGAGUCAGAAAAUGCAGAGUGCUUUUAUAGCCCAUCAAAGGAGAGGGCAGAAAAGGAGCCCAAAGGAAGGCACUAGCUCCAGGGCCUCUACCUCCACAUUGUCUGUGGAGUCAACUUUCUAGUGACUUCUGGGCAUCAGCCUUUGGGAAGGGUGUGAAUGCCUGGGAAUGUGGAGCAACACACUGUCACGUUUCCAUGUGCCUUUGCUAGAACUAUCCACUGUGGCACCAAGUCUCUGCAUCUGGACAGAACUGGAAAGCUUGGAAGGAGGAAAGAGUGUCAAUGGGGAUAUAUUCUCCAGGGGUCUGAAGAAUGAAGAAAUAGGCUCUUGUUCCAGAUAGUUCCAAUACCUCUUCCUGUGUCUUGUCAUUGGGAAAGAUGAAAAUGGUGCACAUUUUAAAAUAAUUAUACACUUUUUUGUUUCCUUUUUGGUACAGGGGAUUGAACCCAGGGGCACUUAACCAGUGAGCUACAUCCCCAGCCUUUGUUUGUUUGUUUGUUUGUUUGUUUUGUACCAGGGAUUCAAUUCAGGGGCAAUUGGCCACUGAGCCAUAUCCCCAUCCCUGUUUUGUAUUUUAUUUAGAGACAGGGUCUCACUGAGUUGCUGAGCCUGGUUUUGAACUUGCAAUCCUCCUGCCUCAGACUCCCAAGCUACUGGGAUAAUAGGCCUGUGCCACCGCUAUCCCCAGCCUUUUUUAUUUUUUAUUUUGAGACAGGAUCUUGCUACAUUGCUUAGAGACUUGCUAAAUUGCUUAGGGCCUCAUUAAGUUGCUAAGGCUGGCCUUGAACUUGUGAUCCUUCUGCCUCAGCCUCCUUAGUUGUUGGGAUUACAGGUGUGCCCCAGUAGUUGUCAAAAAUGCCUAGCUAGAUUUCUUUAAAAAAUUGAAUCCACACUAAAGGUAGCAACUUCAGAUAUGGCUCAGGAAAAGGACUUUCAGCCCUGCCUAGCCAAGGUAUGGGGUAAAGAGGUCUUUUUUGUAGCCUGAAAAGUGGCUUCUCUGGGAUACUGUUCACUCAGGCUUUGUCUCUUGGAAGGGCUGCUGGAAUCAGGGCUCCUUCACCCAUGGCAGCAUGAACCCUCAGAAAGGGAGGUACAAGCCCCGCACUUCCCAGUCCUUUGGAUUUGGUGCCCAAGGAGGAGGAGGAGCUAUCUUUGUACUGUUUAUUUCCUACAUGAGAUCCGUGGUCUUAAAUUCAAAUCUCUGAAGUACCUGGAAAGCCCUACUAAUAAGGGUGAAGUUCUAGAUGUGUCUGGUGGGGUAUUUCAGAGAACUGGGGAGCUCAUUCUCAAAUCGAAUUGCUUCCUACAUCCUUCGGGGCUACCAUCUGACCCCACUCCAAAGUCUUAAGUUCCAUCCCAUUUGGGCCUUUUCACUUAACUGACAAAUGUCCUGCUUGAGUCAUGACUUUGAAUU